rnacentral:rRNA from 1 species
UACGAAGGGGGCUAGCGUUGCUCGGAAUCACUGGGCGUAAAGCGCACGUAGGCGGCUUCUUAAGUCAGGGGUGAAAUCCUGGAGCUCAACUCCAGAACUGCCUUUGAUACUGAGGAGCUUGAGUCCGGGAGAGGUGAGUGGAACUGCGAGUGUAGAGGUGAAAUUCGUAGAUAUUCGGAAGAACACCAGUGGCGAAGGCGGCUCACUGGACUGGUAUUGACGCUGAGGUGCGAAAGCGUGGGGAGCAAACAGG